rnacentral:rRNA from 1 species
GAUUGCCCCAGUAACGGCGAGUGAAGCGGCAACAGCUCAAAUUUGAAAUCUGGCCUUCCGGCCCGAGUUGUAAUUUGCAGAGGAUGCUUUUGGUGAGGCACCUACCGAGUCCCCUGGAAUGGGGCGCCAUAGAGGGUGAGAGCCCCGUAUGGUAGGACGCCGAACCUCUGUAAAGCUCCUUCGACGAGUCGAGUAGUUUGGGAAUGCUGCUCUAAAUGGGAGGUAAAUUUCUUCUAAAGCUAAAUACCGGCCAGAGACCGAUAGCGCACAAGUAGAGUGAUCGAAAGAUGAAAAGCACUUUGAAAAGAGGGUUAAAAAGUACGUGAAAUUGUUGAAAGGGAAGCGCUUGUGACCAGACUUGCGCCGGGCGGAUCAUCCAGCGUUCUCGCUGGUGCACUCCGCCCGGUUCAGGCCAGCAUCGGUUUUCGCCGGGGGACAAAGGCUUCGGGAACGUGGCUCCUUUCGGGGAGUGUUAUAGCCCGUUGCGUAAUACCCCGGCGGGGACCGACGACCGCGCUUCGGCAAGGAUGCUGGCGUAAUGGUCAUCAGCGACCCGUCUUGAAACACGGACCGAGGAGUCAAGCAUUAGUGCGAGUGUUUGGGUGUAAAACCCGCACGCGUAAUGAAAGUGAACGUAGGUGAGAGCUUCGGCGCAUCAUCGACCGAUCCUGAUGUUUUCGGAAGGAUUUGAGUAGGAGCAUUAACGCUUGGACCCGAAAGAUGGUGAACUAUACUUGAAUAGGGUGAAGCCAGAGGAAACUCUGGUGGAGGCUCGCAGCGGUUCUGACGUGCAAAUCGAUCGUCAAAUUUGAGUAUAGGGGCGAAAG